rnacentral:rRNA from 1 species
UUCUGGUGAUUCAUAUACUUCUCGAAUCGCAUGGCCUUGCGCCGGCGAUGGUUCAUUCAAAUUUCUGCCCUAUCAACUUUCGAUGGCAGGGUCUUGGCCUGCCAUGGUUACAACGGGUAACGGAGGGUUAGGGCUCGACCCCGGAGAAGGAGCCUGAGAAACGGCUACUACAUCCAAGGAAGGCAGCAGGCGCGCAAAUUACCCAAUCCCGACACGGGGAGGUAGUGACAAUAAAUACUGAUACAGGGCUCUUUUGGGUCUUGUAAUUGGAAUGAGUACAAUUUAAAUCCCUUAACGAGGAACAAUUGGAGGGCAAGUCUGGUGCCAGCAGCCGCGGUAAUUCCAGCUCCAAUAGCGUAUAUUAAAGUUGUUGCAGUUAAAAAGCUCGUAGUUGAACCUUGGGCCUGGCUGGCCGGUCCGCCUCACCGCGUGCACUGGUUCGGCCGGGCCUUUCCCUCUGGGGAGCCCUAUGCCCUUCACUGGGUGUAGUGGGGAACCAGGACUUUUACA